UAGUACAAUUGCUCAUUGGCUGAACACAGACUUGGGCAGAGGUGCCACUGAAAGACCCCUAGAGUGGGGAGACUCUCACUCAAGUCUCGGGAUAAGCCGAUGCCCCAAUAUUUCAAGAGAGACC
rnacentral:pre_miRNA from 11 species